UGAAUCUUGCUUUUUGGGUGUGUUG
rnacentral:piRNA from 1 species